CCCUUAGAUGUUCUGGGCCGCACGCGCGCUACACUGAUGCAUUCAACGAGUCUAAAACCUGCUCUGAUAGGGGUGGGUAAUCUUUUGAAUGUGCAUCGUGAUUGGGAUAGAUGAUUGCAAUUUUUCAUCUUCAACGAGGAACGCCUAGUAAACGCAAGUCAUCAGCUUGCAUUGAUUACGUCCCUGCCCUUUGUACACACCGCCCGUCGCUCCUACCGAUUGAAUGAUCCGAUGAAUAUCAUGGAUUGAGGAUGCAAGCAGGUUCGCCUGUCUUCAUCUUCGAGAAGUGAAGUAAAUCUUAUCAUUUAGAGGAAGGAGAAGUCGUAACA
rnacentral:rRNA from 1 species